GCGAUCCCAGGUCAGGCGGGGCUACCCGCUGAGUUUAAGCAUAUCAAUAAGCGGAGGAAAAGAAACUAACUAGGAUUCCCUUAGUAGCGGCGAGCGAACCGGGAAGAGCCCAGCGUGAAAAUCGUCCGUCAUCGGCGGCCGAAUUGUAGUCUGGAGAAGCGUCCU
rnacentral:rRNA from 1 species